rnacentral:lncRNA from 1 species
CGGAGUCACCGGCAGCAGGCAAAAUGCUUUCUCUCUCUCUUGAUUUUUUUUUUUUUAUCUCCGUUUUUCUUUUUCUCUUGUUUUGUUGGUUUUCAAGUGCCUAAACCGUCAAAUACAACCUAUUUUUGAAUUGUUUAUUCCUUUGUAUAAGUUAGCUAGUGCUUGUAUAGGUUUAAUAGCCAUGAACUGGAUUCAGCGCAAGAUCUAUCUCUAUAAUGUCACUUUUGGUCUCUUUAUGUUGGAUUGGUGGGAGCGUUACCUUUUCAGUAUCCUUUUCCAUCUGUUUGUUUCUCGGCAUACUUGCAUUUGGGUUUUAGAUUUCUCUUUCAGAAGAUGUUGAGUUUUGAAAUAUUGCGCAUUUGAGUUCCUAAACUUGGGCAGACACUUUGGUGCUUGUGUUGAUGUGGUUCAUUUUCUACAACGGGUCACGCAAUUUGGCUGAGCUCUGCAAGAGGUAGCAGUGUUACUUUAGUUUUACUAAUUGGUGUAACUUGAUUGUUAUAACUCACAGUAUAUUUUACUAAUUUCAGAGAUUUGUUGCUAGGCAUAUAGAUUGGGUUGUUCAAUAUAGGACUUGAACACCUGUGGCUCUCUUACAUGUUAUUAAUGUCCUCUUUUUUGUUAUUUGUUCAGUCAUUUAGCUGAAGUUGGAAUCGAGUUGCUGAUUAGAAUCUUAAAUUCUGCAAUUUUCUUGUUUGGGGUGUAAUGCGGUGAAAGAAUGAAAUAUUCCAAUAUUGUUAUGCUUAUAUUCUGGAAUGGAGGUAGGUAAUAGAAAAAUGAUAAAACCACCCUUGGCUAGCUUUAUCAGCAAAUGAAUAGUAUAAUAGGAAAAGUUCAAUUAGACCUCAUCUUUCCUUGUAUAUCUAUAUCAAUUCUGACAUUUGUUUUUCCCCAUCAAAGGUAUUGCUAUCUUCCAUAUGAAUGCUUUGGUGAGAAAUUAUGCAAGUAGCCAAUAUGCCUAAACUUUAGAUAGUAUUCCCUUUUUUUUUUUUUUUCUUUUUUUCUCUCAUGGAGAUUCACUUAAAAGGAGUAUCAUAUCUUGCAAAUUCGAAUUUGUCCUUGUAGCAAAAUCUCCACUCCGGGGCUCUAGCCUUUAGGCAUUAAGCAUUCCUUAUAAUUGCUUGGACUGGUCUGUUUAAUUUGGGGCAAUAGUAAUGUACCUGCACAUGGUUUUUCAGCAUUAGAAUUCUUUUUCUCUUGUUUUGUUGGUUUUCAAGUGCCUAAACCGUCAAAUACAACCUAUUUUUGAAUUGUUUAUUCCUUUGUAUAAGUUAGCUAGUGCUUGUAUAGGUUUAAUAGCCAUGAACUGGAUUCAGCGCAAGAUCUAUCUCUAUAAUGUCACUUUUGGUCUCUUUAUGUUG